UGCUCUUCAUAAACUUCAGCGAACAGAAAGCACUUAUCUGGUCUUAUUCUCUUCAUGUUAUCGCCGUUUUCCGAAUUGAUUUAAAGUAAGCAUCCCGGGUAAGCAAGUUGUAAAAUGUGCCUCGGCGAUCUGUCGCUGUGUUCACUGAUGGUAACGGACUUGCAUAAUUUAAGCUUAGUGCUUGAGCAAGUGAACAGAAAGGAAGCAAUUCAGUUAAGGAUGUAUGCUCAAAUCUCAAAAUGUUGGAAGAAAAUGGAAAUAAAGUACAUCAUGCUCAGGUCUUUCUCAAGACUUUCUUUAAUGCAAUAAACUAGCGCGUCUAC